rnacentral:rRNA from 1 species
UACGUAGGGUGCAAGCGUUAAUCGGAAUUACUGGGCGUAAAGCGUGCGCAGGCGGUGAUGUAAGACAGGUGUGAAAUCCCCGGGCUUAACCUGGGAACUGCAUUUGUGACUGCAUCGCUGGAGUGCGGCAGAGGGGGAUGGAAUUCCGCGUGUAGCAGUGAAAUGCGUAGAUAUGCGGAGGAACACCGAUGGCGAAGGCAAUCCCCUGGGCCUGCACUGGCGCUCAUGCACGAAAGCGUGGGGAGCAAACAGG